ACCAGCAUGCUGGAGAAGAGCAAAGGUGUCUGCCUUCAGAUUCCUCACUACGGAAUUCCUGCAUGCUGACAGACUCUCCUGGGCCGCUACCUGAGUCCUGCUGCUUCCUCCCGGAUUGGCUCUGGUUGGACCAACAUUUGAAUCAUUGUUUCUUAAUCUCACACCAGGUAUACACAUAUUAAAAGAACCUCAUCUCCCUCCUAUAAAUUGGAGCGAGAUAGUCUCCAAUCCAUGGGAAUGCUCCAGCAUUUAAGCAAUUAUUUUAUGAAAUGGUAGAAUACUCUGUCAUUUCGAAAUUCUAGAAAACUCUGGAAUGCCACAAGGAAGUCAAAUAACCAGAUUGUUGUAUCCAUAGCAAUCACACUUUUAUUACAAUUACUCAGAAUCUACAGUGGGUCUCUUAAUGUCCGUGCAUGAGGUGCACUACCACCACCACAUGAUUGCUUGGAGCACCACAGGCAAAAAACAGCCCUAAUGUUAAGACCCUGAGGAUGACAAGUAUUCCUUCCUCUUCCUGAAGGAACAUUCCUGGCUUCUCGCCUUCCAUCUUGUUGGCUGGAGAGGGGCAAGAGCCAGGCAGUGCAGUACCGGCCCUUCAACAGCAAGACCUGUGACAUCCCAGACAGAGGGAGGACAGACGAUUUGUUCCCUUCAGAUGUCAGGAACUGCAGUGUCAGCAUACCUCACCUAGCUCCUCAGCCUGUAUCUCUAGCCACCCCAACCUGGCUGGAACUGCUGCUUAGUACAUGGACCAGUCACACCUUCACUGAAUGGCAGCAGGAAGCUAAGCAGCCAAGCAGCCCCAUUGAGAGUGUUUUCCCAGGAGAGGGGAUCCAUGAAUCUCCAAGGCCUGCUCCAAAGUAUUUUGAAUACCUAAAACAAAAUAAUCACUGGAGUAAAGGACUGAAACCAUAGACCUGCCCUCGAGGCAUAUAGUUUGACAUCUGCUUUAUAGAGCUGCACUAGGACUUGAGUAAAGAGCUCCAUGCGAAGGGUAAGAGCCUGGCUCAGUGCCAAAGCACUGCUGAGAUAUAAACUCCUGUUGCUAGGCUUUGAGGGCUUUGAGAAGAGCAUUGCAAUGCAUGGUUAGUGGCUGCCAGUGGCACAGGCAUUCAGCUGACUCCUGAAGAUCUGUCAUCAAUUGCACUGUUGCUUCUGGCUGUGAAGGAGCAGACUGAAAGGGCUGAGAGCUGCUGCCCCAAGGUGCCAAAAUCAGGGGUUCCAAGAAGGAAG
rnacentral:lncRNA from 1 species